rnacentral:rRNA from 1 species
GACGAACGCUGGCGGCGUGCUUAACACAUGCAAGUCGAACGAGAGAUCCGAAGUGCUUGCACUUUGGUGAUCUAGUGGCGAACGGGUGAGGAACACGUGAGCAACCUGUCUUACGGUGGGGGAUAGCCGGUCCAACGACCGGGUAAUACCGCGUAAUGCAUUUGACCACAUGGUCAACUGUGAAAGCGGCCUUCGGGUCGCGCCGGAAGAGUGGCUCGCGUCCUAUCAGCUUGUUGGUGAGGUAACGGCUCACCAAGGCUACGACGGGUAGCUGGUCUGAGAGGAUGAUCAGCCACAUUGGGACUGAGAUACGGCCCAG